UGGGUGCAUGGCGGUGGAGGGUGUUUAUACCUGAAAUCUGACCUGCGCCGUCAUCCUACUUAUUUCAGUGUCUCUAAAUAUUCACCAGCUGAGCUGCUCUCCUGAGAGUGAAACUGGACUCAAAGUUUGAGUGAAGGAAGAACUGUGUUGGGACUUUUCUUUAAAUGUGUGUGACACUCUCAUAGAUAUUAGUUAUAGUCCCUGUCCUCCCUCCCGUUUCCUGCCUCUCUCUCUCUCUCUCUCGUUCUGUUAUGUUAAGUAGCAGGCCUGCUUUCUGUCCACCACUCUUUCCUCCUUGGGUUUCAAUUCCAAACAUGGUUAUCCUUCUAGUGCUCAAUCAACGCCCACCCUCCCUUAUGCCCGUCUCUUCCAGCUGUUGGCUCUACAGAGCAGGCCGGUGGGGUGAGAGAAACAGACAGAAAGGCUACAGGAAGAGGAGAGGAAGGGACGCAUAAUGAGAGAAGAAGAAGAUUCCAGCUGUGUUUCUAUAACAAAUAGAGCCGUGAGAACUUCUUCACAUUGAAGGAUUUUCCACCACACGCCAAGGGAACAAAACUUCUAACAUUCUUCUGUUUAUUUUUAAAUCAAACAAAACAUCCCGUCGUCCAUGUUGAUGGGACAGAAAUAGCCCCGUUGGAUAAGAAGUCUUUGUGUUGCCUCUUCUUGUCAUUUGAAGACAAACAUGAGCAGUGAUAACUCGACUCUGCUGGACAGCUUGUUCUUCCCUCCGCUCUGCGAUGGCUGGACCAACAACACGGAGGGAGCCAUCUACCAUCUGGGCAACACCAUGCUGUUCCUGGGCUACAUGGGGGGCAGCGGGGCCUACGGGUGCCUCUUCAUCUUCGGCUUCCUGGCUCCGGCCUUCGGGUGCCUCGCCCUGUGGGGCUGGAUGACCAUGUGCGGCCUGGACGUCUUCACCUGGAACCUGCUCCUGGUGCUGGCCUGCGUGGUUCAGAUCUGCCACCUGCUGUACCGGCUGCACCAGGAGGGCAUACGCAGCGAGGAGCUGACCUCGCUCUACCAGGCAGUGUACCUGCCGCUGGGCGUACCCGUCCACGUGUUCAAGGAGAUCGCGGGCGCCUUCGAGAACAAGGUGGUGGAGGUGAAGGCGGGAGAGACGUACGCCGUGGAGGGCAAGACGCCUAUCGACCGGCUCUCCUUUCUGCUGUCUGGGAGGAUCAACGUGUCUCUGGAGGGCCAGUUCCUUCAUUACAUCCACCGCCACCAGUUCCUCGACUCCCCAGAGUGGGAGUCGCUCAGACCAAACGAGGACGGAAAGUUCCAGGUGACCAUGACUGCAGAGGAAGACUCCCGCUACGUCUCGUGGCGUCGCCGGCGCCUCUAUUUGCUGAUCUCGAAGAACCGCUACAUCGCCCGCGUCUUCUCCGUCAUGCUUGGCUACGACAUCGCCGAGAAGCUCUACAACCUCAACGACAAGCUCUACAUCAAGAGCGGCGUGCUGCUGGACAUCCGCCUGCCCAGCCUCUACCACGUGCUGGCCCCCUCCUCGCAGGGCAGCGAGGGCGGUAGCGGCAGCGGCAGCGGCAGCGGUAGUGACGGGGGGAUCGGCAAGGAGCAGCAACAGCAGGGCGAAGACCCGGCGCCGGCCUACCAGAUGUCCGAUCCGGCCCAGUUUCAACCCCACCUGCAGGGACCAAGGAACGCCGCCCUGGAUGAACCCCCGGCCCCUCAGCGUGAGCGUUAUCAGCCCCCCUGGGCGUCAGACCCCGAGCUGCCCACUGGUGAGGACUCCACCAGCCUGGUCCUGGAGGACUUUGCCGAUGUGGCGGGCUCCUUAACGGAUUAUGGCAGUGAGGGGAAUUAUUUGAGGUAGAGGGUGCAGGGUGCUGGAGCUAACACACACUGGGUCACACCUUAAGCUACAUGAGGUGAUAGUGACGGAGAUCUACCGCCUCGAUUCAAGAGGGGCAGAGCGCCGCUGGCUCCCACCGACACUCCCAAACUGUGAGAACAGUCUCUCCUGGAAACACUAUAUAUCAUCUACAGUAUAGCAGAAUGAACGUGUCACGUACGUCACUUGUUAGGACACCGUCCGUCCUCGCUCUCUGUCCCUGUUCUCACCUCAGUUCACAUCUUCACCCCUGAUUCCUUCUCUCUAUUUAAAUUACAGUUUGAGUGAUAAGGCAGCUAAUAUUUAUGUCUUUUAACCAUCAAUAUUUUCACCAUAAUAACUGCCUUAAAAUCAUAAAAACAGGGGGACCCACCACAUGUAUAAGUGAAACUUCUAGAUAUUUUAGCAUUUCAAUGAACUUGGCAUUUAAAAAAUCUACAAUUUAACAGCUGAGUGAACCAAUAAAAUGCUAAAAGAACAUUUAUAUUAUGUGUUUCUGUAGCUUCUAUCUGAGAGAAACAUCUGUCCAAUUAAAGGAUGACAUGUUAACUUGCAGAUAUCCAACAUUUAAUAAACUGAAUAAACAAAAUAAUAUCUGAAUUAAAUCCUAAUUACACACAAGUGGCACUGCAACACCGAGGACAGAGGGACGGCCUUCACUUUACCAGCACAUUAAAUGUCUGAAAUGUUAUUUUAUGUAAUAAAAAUGGAUUCUGUGGUACUGAAACAGAUGCAUUUGGUUUCCAUCUCACUUAUAUUUCAUGUUUAAACUAUGAUUGUUGUGAUUUGGACUUCACAUGUUUACCCCCCCCCCCAUAAAUCACUCAUACUACUAUAUUGAUUUAACUUAGUAAGGUUACUUACUGCACAUUCAGGCCUGCAUUAUACUCAAUUCUUUAAUCCUAAUUCAAGAUCUGGAAAAUAUUUAGUUUUGCAUACUUCUUGAGAACUUUCCAGACGUGUAUAUGAAAACUUGGCAGUUAAGUUUUUCUCCAUUUCACUUUCAUGUUUAGUUUAUUUAUCUGAAUGCACCAUGACUUGAUGCUAAAUUCAUCUGGAGGACGACCUCUUAUGUCUUCUUUGGUGAUAUAUUGGAUGCCUGUAGAUCAUGUUUUUCUUUUCUUUUUAAGUUUUGUAACUAAUUGAGUAUUUAAUACACACGUGUAAACUCUGAAUUGCAUUAUUUGUCCUGUUAUUGACUUGCAAAAUACAUUUAGAUAGGGCUAAAACGAAGAAAAGUAUUUUCAUGGGGCCAAGAUUUCUCCAUAAAGCUUCUUUGUGUGCAGUGAAAAUGUAGUUUGUUUUCUGUGUCUACUUCCUGUCAGACGACUCAACACUGAGCUAAUGGCACCCUGAUUAUACUCCAAAUUAUUAAUGCAUCAGUAGGCGAGAAAAUCUCCUCUUGAGCUAAUCUUUAAUUACAGAGUAAUCUUCAAAAGAUUCUUCUAAUGCCAGUUUUUCCAAUUUGUUUUAGAUGAGCUGCAGUUUCUAAUUCAGUAUCUAACACACAAACAUCAUUAUUUAACCUCCAAACAUCCUCAGAGAAAAGCACAGUUACCGUUUAUUGCUUGACUUUAAAAAGACAAACUGAAUUCAGCAUCAUUAAACCGACUGGAACAUCCUAAAACCAGAAUAUAGAGAAAGGUUUCAUUCUUUCAACACUUCUCAGAGCUGCAGGACGGAGCUAAACCUGAAUAAUAAUAAUAAUAAAAACAUGCUAUAGAUCCAGUGGUGAUGUUGGAAGAUCAGUAGAUUAGCCACAUAACUAAAUAAUAAAGUUAGUAGUAGAGUGAUCGUCUCCUCUCCAGAUUAAAAUGUGGUUCUUUGGCUCUCUGAUCAUUAAACGAGGUGGA